GGCGCACGGGUGAGUAACACGUAGGUAAUUUGCCUUCGGGUGGGGAAUAACAGCCGGAAACGGCUGCUAAUACCGCAUAAUGCAGCGGCUCGACAUCGAGACAGUUGUUAAAGCGGGGGAUUCGCAAGAACCUCGCGCCUGAAGAGAAGCCUGCGGCAGAUUAGCUAGUUGGUAGGGUAAUGGCCUACCAAGGCGACGAUCUGUAACCUGGCCUGAGAGGGCGGUCGGUCACACUGACACUGACAUACGGGUCAGACUCCUACGGGAGUGCAGCAGUCGGGAAUUUUGGGCAAUGGGCGAAAUGCCUGACCCAGCAACGCCGCGUGAAGGAUGAAAUCCCUCGGGAUGUAAACUUCGCAAGAACUGGGACAGAAUAAGUAGAAGCUAAUACCUUCUAUGAUGACGGUACCAUUUGUAAGCUCCGGCUAACUCCGGUGCCAGCCGCCGCGG
rnacentral:rRNA from 1 species